CCUGGCCCCGCCUCCCGCCUCCCGUGUACGCACGCUCCUCCCCCUCUCUUCCCCCUCGCAUCUGUCGUCCCCUUCGCCGCCGCCAUGGCCGUCCUUGCCGGCCGCGUGCUCCGCAUCGGCAGCUACGACUCCCCCGUGCACGAGCAGACGCUCCGGAACCCCUUCUCCUUCUCCUAAACAUGCACAAACUCCUCCUGAACAGCAUACACCGCCGCCGAUCUGUGCUCUCUCCUCUCCACGCCGCCGAUUUGUCCUCUUCGGCUUCCUUCCAGCCCCAUGUUCUCCUUCCUGUCCCCACCGCCCCAAUCCUACCUGGUGCCACACCCAGCCUCCUCCACCGCUCUACGUCGACCUCCUGGGGCUGGCGGCCGUUUUCAAUUUGGAUCGAAUUCAGUGCCAUGUCCGUGCAGAAGACCUACUUCGUCCCAGUAGUACAGGUGCAUUUCGGAGGGGAGCAUGCGUAUUACCUUGAUUGAGUUGAGUUUCGUGUGCUGCAUUACUGUUAUAAUUCUUUGUCAUCUAUAGUCUACUUAGAAUAUACUCCCUCCGUUUCAAAUUACUCGUCAUGGUUUUAGUUCAAAUUUGAACUAAAACCACGACGAGUAAUUUGGAACGGAGGGAGUAACUCAUAAUGUAUGAACAUAAUUACUGUUUUUUGUCGUGUCAAUGUACAUCCAUAUUGGCUGACAAGCUAUCUUGCGAAGCCCCGGAUCAUGGCGUUCCCGUGGAGGGAGAGGGCGGCGGGGUCGAGCUCCUGUGAAUAGAGAGGGAGGCGAGGAUGGGCGCAGCAGGCAGAGCCCCGUCCUUCUUUGUCCUCUCGCAUCGAGCGCCGGAUCGAAUAAGCAGCAGCUCCCCACCUCCAUCCCGUCUCCUCUCCUACAUCGGCCGCGCCACGCCACGCUCGUGGAAUAGAAUCGCGGAAGCACCUAGAGAGUGUAGAGAGUGCAAUGUCAACAGCUGGAUCUACAGACAUUAAGCCGCCGACAUAAAGAGAGAUCUUGUGGACGCAUAGGAUGAGGUGCAAACCGCAGAGGUAAAAUUUGGCUCAACAUUGCAGAGUUAGGAGUGAAGGUCUUGAUUGCUAUUGUAGAUGGUUUUAUUAUUUGCUGGAAGUUCCUUGGUCCAAUUGUUCCGAGUUCUGACAACUUAUAACGGGAUUAUUGUUUCUUUACUGAGAAAAGUCACAAUCUUUAGUUUAGAACGUUGAACUACGCUUUUCUGGAACGA